rnacentral:rRNA from 1 species
UACGUAGGGGCCUAGCGUUGUCCGGAUUUAUUGGGCGUAAAGAGCUCGUAGGCGGUUCGGCAAGUCAGCUGUGAAAUCUCCACGCUUAACGUGGAGGGGUCAGCUGAUACUGCCGUGACUCGAGUCCGGUAGGGGAGUGUGGAAUUCCCGGUGUAGCGGUGAAAUGCGCAGAUAUCAGGAAGAACACCCGUGGCGAAGGCGGCUCUCUGGGACGGUACUGACGCUGAGACGCGAAAGCGUGGGGAGCGAACAGG